UUAAUAGUUAAAUGGAUGAAAAUGUGGAGAGGAUUAAUCAUUUUCCAUCUUUGUCUUUUGUACACAAGGCAUUUUCUUGCCUUGUCUCUCUUUAAAUUGGAAGAAAUUUUUGUUGAAAAAAAGUGCAUCCGUCAAAGAUUCUACACGUGGCAGUUGAAGGCGGCUUCAAGUAUCCAAAAAUUCUGGAAAUUUCCAAUGUUAGACAACAAACCAAUCAUUCCAUGAUUUGGCCACAUGGACUUGCAAACUACCAACCACUUGUUUGUCUUUGAUAUUUUAUGUGUUGAUAUUUUGGGUUUCCCUCUUCAAUCUUCCCUUAUAAAACCCCCUCACCCAAUUAGGUUUCUGUUAUCCUGUCCUUUGUUCAUCUUGUACUAAUCUCUUCUAUCUUAUUCCAAUACCAUCAAAGGAAGCGUUCAGUCAUUGAAGUUUCAUCUUGGGUAGUAAGUGUAUUCAAUGGCAAAAGAAAUCCCAAGUUUCCAUUCAUGGAAUGAAGUAGCUCCACCUCCCAUUAUUUUCCCUCAUAAGCCUUCUAACUCUCCUGCUUUGGAGACCAUCACUGAGGAAGAAGAUGAUGAUAAUGAUUAAUGACUUUUUUUUAUUUUUUAUGAUAUUUUAUGUGUUUUUUAAAAUUACGUACGAGAUUAUGCAUGUAACUGUUAUUUUAAUGUAUUAAUUAAUUUUAAAUAUUAUUUUGUAAAUUAUUUAUAUUUUUCUUUUAUAAUGUAAUUAUAAUUAUAAAAAUUAAAAUUUCUUUUAAUAUAAUGAUUUUAAAAUUUUAAAUUUGUGUUAAAUCAAAUUCAAAUCAAUUUAUAAGCCAAUCCAAUAGAAUUUAUGCAAAAUCUAAAAAGCUGUCAACAGUUCUUUAGGUUCAAAAUGGCUUAAAAUAGUUUUUUUCCCCGAG
rnacentral:lncRNA from 1 species